GACGAACGCUGGCGGCGUGCUUAACACAUGCAAGUCGUACGGUAAGGCCCUUUCGGGGGUACACGAGUGGCGAACGAGUGAGUAACACGUGCGUAACCUGCCCACACCUUUGGGAUAACGCUAGGCAACUGGUUCUAAUACUGGCUGUGUGCUCCUGCUGCAUGGUGGGGGUUGGAAAGCUCCGGCGGGUGGGGAUGGACUCGCGGCCUGUCAGCUUGUUGGUGGGGUAGUGGCUUACCAAGGCGGCGACGGGUAGCCGGCCUGGGAGGGUGACCGGCCACAUUGGGACUGAGAUAGGGCCCAGACUCCUACGGGAGGCAGCAGUGGGGAAUAUUGCACAAUGGGCGGAAGCCUGAUGCAGCAACGCCGCGUGCGGGAUGACGGCCUUCGGGUUGUAAACCGCUUUAGCCUGUGACGAAGCGUGAGUGACGGUAAUGGGUAAAGAAGCACCGGCUAACUACGUG
rnacentral:rRNA from 1 species